rnacentral:tRNA from 1 species
GUUCCUGUAGUUUAAUUUUGGUAACGACGAUUUUUCGGGUCGUAGGUCUUGGUUAGAGUCCAAGUGGGAAUU